UGCGCAGGCGGACUUUUAAGUCAGUGGUGAAAUCCCGAGGCUCAACCUCGGAACUGCCAUUGAUACUGGAAGUCUUGAAUUUGGUUGAAGUGGGCGGAAUGUAGCAUGUAGCGGUGAAGUGCUUAGAUAUGCUACAGAACACCGAUCGCGAAGGCAGCUCACUAAGCCAAUAUUGACGCUCAGGCACGAAAGCGUGGGGAGCAAACAGGAUUAGAUACCCUGGUAGUCC
rnacentral:rRNA from 1 species